AAAGAAUCCCACAGGUCACUUAAUACAUUCUUUUCUGCCUGGUGGAAAUUCAUCUCUUUCCGGGGAGGCGAUGUGAAAGGGCCUAUGACCACUUAUUUUGUUGGAACAACCUCACAUCCAGUCCAACUCAAUCCACAAAACUUCUACAUCAUCUCAGAAGCGGCAGCAAUUUGUGCAAGACAUGGGACAGCAUGCGGGGACCCCGGGCAAGUGUGAACCCAGCUCCCCAACCACGUAUUGAGUUGGUGCCAUCAGAGGCAGGCAGGCAGCCCGGGUGACCACCCUGCGUGCAGACUCCACAGCCAGACAGCCUGAGUGCCCACCCUGGCUCUGCUGCUUCCUGGCUGGAAGGCCUCGGCCAGUCUCUGUGCCUCAGUUUCCCCAUCAGUAAACUGAGUUUAAUAAUAGUAACCUUCCUCCCAGGGGUCUGGAGGAUUCAAGGAGUGGAUGCCAGAGCAAGCUCAGCACCCAAAGUGAGUUGUUGUCACCCCCACUUUGCAGACAACAAAACAGGUGCAGAGAGGCCAGUGCUUGGCCGAAUGACCAAGCUGGGAUUCUGAUGCUCCAGACACCUCUGCAGCCUCCCUUUAAGGCUGCCUUCGGCUAAAGGCCGUAGACAAGAGCUGCUGUUACAGAGCUGUGCCAACGUGGAGGAGAUAUCAGCGGAUGUGAAAACAACCCCCGACAGCCAGAGCUACAUUCUAGGGAGCUUAAGGCUCAGUUGCUGCUCUAAAUUUGAAGAGAGCCAUGUUGGCCAUGCAUCUGAACGGAGAAAAGGAAACGCAGGGGUUGGUGACGACGGAGCCGAGCGCUGAGCGGCAGAGCCGCUGGAGGCCGGGACACCCAGGACUGGAUGAGUUGCUUCUGGUUCCACCGUUCCUGACACCUGCCCCACCCUCUUGGGGACAGGUGAUUUGAAGCUCCCCCAUCACGUUCCUCCUGAGCUCGCUGUCAUGCUGGGGAGCCAGGAAGGGUGCCCAGCACCCCCUAAGGCACAGUGAGAAGCAUUCCUUUAAAAAUAACAGCUGCAGGGACUCGCAUGGGUCCUGCCAAAUGUGACCAGGGCCUUGGAAAUCCUGGUGCUCCCUGGGAAUAAAGCUGACCCCAGGAGGCCAAAGGAUUUAGGGGUCAAAAGAUUAUGGGAGAUGAAGCUGACCUCCAUCCACCCUUCUGCCUUUAAAUCCCAGCCAAUUCUGCCUUCCUUAAUUGUCUAUGUUUAUAGGGAAUUGAAUACACAGUUCUCACCCCCUAGGUGGGAUGUGGGUGCCGGGGCUGUGAGUGGACAGAGCGCUGGCCGCCAAGCUGGGCGUCUGCUUCUAACCUGCCGGGAGGUCCGAGGAGGGUCGCCUCCAGCUCUUCCAACCCCAAACCCAAAUCCUCCGCGGGCCCCGAAAUCUGCGCGUCAGCAGGAGAAGCUGCUGAUUUUAAGGCAUUUGAAAGGGUCAUCAGAGAAUGCGCGCAUGAGUGUAAUUUGGUUUCGAAGGCUACAAAAUAUUUCCAGAAGCAAACUAUGAAUCCUUGAGGAAUGAAGGCAUUUGAAUUAAAGCAUCCACGGCGUUGGCCGACACCAAGCGUUGCUCAAGAGGGAUUUAAAUCCCAGUUUCCAGGCGUCUUCCCUUGAAGCCAGUGCUGGCUGAUCUUUGCGCCUCUCCAGAGUUGUGAGGACACGGAGCGAGCAGGACUGGGCCCGGCUGCGCUGGUGCCGCUUAAGGCACAGAGCCCUGGGGCGGUGUCAUCAGCCCACUUUACAGACGCCCCUGAGGCUUAGAAACUGCUGUUCAAGGUCACCUGGCAGCCCCAUCUCCAGGCGCGAGACAAGCAUCGCCCCCUCCGUGCCCCUCCGCUGCCUCCUGGCAGGUCUACGGGGACACGGGGGCCUCGGCACCAGCACGGUGCCAUGAGCCCCCGCCACCCACCCAAGGCAAUUCCAUCGGGGCAUCCCUGCGAAGGACGUGCGCUCCCUUCCCGGUGAUCCCUGCCCAGUCCUGCGGUGCUGGCUCACCUGGCCAGGUGUCCAUCAGCACGCCAGCCACCCCCACCCCUGGCACUCAACACACCUGUGCCAGCACAGGCACCCAAAGCAUCACCUGGAGCAGACAGCGUUCCUUUCCUUUCAGAGCCACAGAGGAGGGCCGCUUGUUUACCAGGGAGAUUUCCAGUGCAGGAGGAAGUCCUUGAGGGCAUCUUGUAUGCACACUAAAACUUGGACAUAGAAGUACUCAACGGAAGAGAAGUGCUCUAGGUGACGCUC